UGAGUACAAGAUGCUACGGCAUUGAAGCAGUCUAUGUCAUACUUCCAAGAAAAGCUUGCAAUGUCAUAAACAAAUAAUGCCUGUACCAUAACCGACACAGGUGGGUAGGUAGAGUAUACUAAGGGGCGCGAGAUAACUCUCUCUAAGGAGCUCGGCAAAAUGACUCCGUAACUUCGGGAGAAGGAGUACCUUAUUUUAUAAGGUUGCAAUAACAAGGUCCAAGCAACUGUUUACCAAAAACACAGGUCUCCGCUAAGUCGUAAGACGAUGUAUGGGGGCUGACGCCUGCCCAGUGCCAGAAGGUUAAAGAAGUUGGUUAGCAUUAGCGAAGCUGAUAACUGAAGCCCUGGUGAACGGCGGCCGUAACUAUAACGGUCCUAAGGUAGCGAAAUUCCUUGUCGGGUAAGUUCCGACCCGCACGAAAGGCGUAAUGAUUUGGAUACUGUCUCGGAGAGGGGCUUGGUGAAAUAGACUUGUCUGUGAAGAUGCGGACUACCUGCACCUGGACAGAAAGACCCUAUGAAGCUUUACUGUAACUUGAGAUUGAAAUUGGACUUUAUUUGCGCAGUAUAGGUGGGAGACCUCGAAAGUAUUCUUGCGGGAAUAUUGGAGUCAUCAGUGAGAUACCACUCUUAUAAUGUUAGAUUUCUAACUUUGUAUCAUUAUCUGGUCAAAGAACAGUUUCAGGCGGGCAGUUUGACUGGGGCGGUCGCCUCCCAAAUGGUAACGGAGGCGCACAAAGGUUUCCUCUGAACGUGUAGAAAUCGUAUCUAGAGUGUAAAGACAUAAGGAAGCUUGACUGUGAGACCUACAAGUCGAGCAGGGACGAAAGUCGGUCUUAGUGAUCUGACGGUGCUGAGUGGAAAGGCCGUCACUCAACGGAUAAAAGUUACUCUAAGGAUAACAGGCUGAUCUCCCCCAAGAGUUCACAUCGACGGGGAGGUUUGGCACCUCGAUGUCGGCUCAUCGCAUCCUGGGGCGGUAGUACGUCCCAAGGGUUGGGCUGUUCGCCCAUGAAAGCGGUACGCGAGCUGGGUUCAGAACGUCGUGAGACAGUUCGGUCCAUAUCCGGUGUAGGCGUUAGAAUAUUGAGAGGAGCCUUCUUUAGUACGAGAGGACCGAGAAGGACAUACCUCUGGUGUACCAGUUAUCGUGCCAACGGUAAACGCUGGGUAGCUAUGUAUGGAGAGGAUAACCGCUGAAAGCAUCUAAGUGGGAAGCCCACCUCAAGAUAAGUAUUUUCAU
rnacentral:rRNA from 1 species